AUUGGUCACACCUUUGACUUUUAUGUCUUGCCAAAAAGAGAAGAAUGUACCUGAAGAACCUUGCAUUCAUGUGCUAAUGUGGAUGCCCUGGGAAUUUUUACAGGGGACUCAGACCAGUCAUUUGGAGAUUCCAGAAAAGAACAUUCUAUCCAGCAUUGGUGACCCUUCAGGACGUUCAGACAUGCGCUACUGAUGGGAUCGGCUGAAAACUAUUACAGCUUCCACUCUUUUGGCAAGCUUUCUUACAAGAUUUUGAAGAGUGUCUACGGUAAUUAUUUCCCAUUCAUCCAGAAUUGUGAGGUCAGACACUGAUAUAGAACAAGAAGGCCUGAUUCACAAUCUCUGUUCUAGUUCAUCCCAUAGGUGUUCGAUGGGGUCAACCAGCCAUGCCUUUUGCUUUGGAAAUUGCUUUGUGCACUGGGGCACAUUCAUGCUGGAAUAGAAGGGUCUUCCCCAAACUGUCCCCACAAAGUUGGAAGCGAACAUCUAUCCAAAAUGUCUUGUUAUGCUGAAGCAUUAAGAUUUGCCUUCACUGAGACUAAGGGGUCUAGGCCAACCCCUGAAAAACAACCCCAUAUCAUUAUCCCUCCUUCACCAAACUUUACAGUUGGCACAACGCAGUCAAGCAGGUAAGGUUCUCCUGGCAUUCAUCAAAGCCAGACUCGUCCAGACACUGCCAGAUAGAGAAGCAUAAUUCGCCACCUCGCAGAA
ensembl:lncRNA